CCCUUAGAUGUUCUGGGCCGCACACGCGCUACACUGAAGGAGGCAGCGUGUACUCCUGGAUCGAAAGAUUUGGGUAACCCGCGAAUCUCCUUCGUGCUAGGGAUUGAGGUUUGCAAUUAUCCUUCAUGAACGAGGAAUUCCCAGUAAGUGCAAGUCAUAAGCUUGCGCUGACUACGUCCCUGCCCUUUGUACACACCGCCCGUCGCUACUACCGAUUGAAUGAUUUAGUGAGGACUUCGGACUGUGACCGAUGCGGCUUUCGGGCUGCGUCGGUAUUCUGGAAAGAUGUCCAAACUGUAUCAUUUAGAGGAAGUAAAAGUCGUAACA
rnacentral:rRNA from 1 species